rnacentral:rRNA from 1 species
GGAAUAUUGGACAAUGGGGGCAACCCUGAUUCAGCGACGCCGCGUGAGUGAAGAAGUAUUUCGGUAUGUAAAGCUCUAUCAGCAGGGAAGAUGAUGACGGUACCUGACUAAGAAGCCCCGGCUAACUACGUGCCAGCAGCCGCGGUAAUACGUAGGGGGCAAGCGUUAUCCGGAUUUACUGGGUGUAAAGGGAGUGUAGGCGGCUGUGCAAGUCAGAAGUGAAAACCCGGGGCUCAACUCCGGGACUGCUUUUGAAACUGCGUAGCUCGAGUACUGGAGAGGCAAGCGGAAUUCCUAGUGUAGCGGUGAAAUGCGUAGAUAUUAGGAAGAACACCGGUGGCGAAGGCGGCUUGCUGGACAGAGACUUACGCUGAGGCUCGAAAGCAUGGGGAGCAAACA